rnacentral:lncRNA from 1 species
UGGUUUCAUUUACCAUCAUUUGAUGAGUAAUGUGAAUUAAAAUCACCAGCUUUUAUGUAAAAAGAAUUAUUUAUCACUUUUUAGAGCCGUUUAAUAGAGAAAAUGAAAUAAUACCUAAACUUUGCCGAAAAUUAAUAAUUUUUGGCAUGGUGUCAACUGAUGGGUAUAUAAACUUGGGAUAAAAAUCUCAAGUCAAAAUAAUAAAAAUAAACCGAUAAAAACAUUUGCUAAGUAGACACACGAAAUAAAAAUGAAAAAUAUGCCUAGCCGCCGGC